AUUGAACGCUGGCGGCAGGCCUAACACAUGCAAGUCGAACGAGUGGCGGACGGGAGAGUAAUGUCUGGGAAACUGCCUGAUGGAGGGGGAUAACUACUGGAAACGGUAGCUAAUACCGCAUACCAUCGGAUGUGCCCAGAUGGGAUUAGCUAGGAGGUGGGGGAAAGGCUCACCUAGGAGACGAUCCCUAGCUGGUCUGCGAGGAUGACCAGCCACACGGGAACUGAGAAACGGUCCAGACUCCUACGGAAGGCAGCAGUGGGGAAUAGUGAACAAUGGGCGCAAUCCUGAGGCCGCCAUGCCGAGUGUAUGAAGAAGGCCUUCGGGUUGUAAAGUACUUUCAGCGGGUAGGCGUUACCCGCAGAAGAAGCACCGGCUAACUCCGUGCCAGCAGCCGCGGUAAUUC
rnacentral:rRNA from 1 species